rnacentral:rRNA from 1 species
GCCAGCAGCUACAUCGCCCUGCAGCUCCCAGCUGGCAGCCCCACUGGAGCUCAGCAGGUGUGAGCCUGGCCAGAACCUGGAUGGGAGACCUCCUGGGAAAGCUAAGGUUGCUGCUGGAA